rnacentral:rRNA from 1 species
CUAAGGAAAACAGAUGGAUGGAGAGCAGAAAUGCUAAGAGAAAUCCAUCAGUUACGGAAGCACACUGCAAAAGAAACUUUGUUCAGUUUUGAGAGUAUCAGCUCUCACUUGUACGUUGAAAACUGAAUAUCUUAAUUCCAAGAAAAAACCGAGAAUCAUUGAGAUCAAUGAAAACAUUGCAAAGCGACCGAGAGAGUUCGAAAGAACAAACUUGCAA